GAUGAAGAACGUAGCGAAAUGCGAUACUUGGUGUGAAUUGCAGAAUCCCGUGAACCAUCGAGUCUUUGAACGCAAGUUGCGCCCGAAGCCAUUAGGCCGAGGGCACGCCUGCCUGGGCGUCACACGUCGUUGCCCCCCCAUCUACUCCUUCGGGAUUGCGGGGGGCGGAUGAUGGCCUCCCGUGCGCCUCGUCGCGCGGUUGGCAUAAAUGCCAAGUCCUCGGCGACGCACGCCACGACAAUCGGUGGUUGCGAAACCUCGGUUGCCCGUCGUGUGCGGUCGUCGCGCAUCGAGGGCUCGAGAAAAUUGCCGGGCUCCGGCUCGGCUUUCAACGCGACCCCAGGUCAGGCGGGGUUACCCGCUGAAUUUAAGCAUAUCAAUAAGCGGAGGA
rnacentral:misc_RNA from 1 species